GCACAAGCAGCGGAGCGUGUGGUUUAAUUCGAUGCUACACGAAGAACCUUACCAAGGUUUGACAUGCAAGUGGUAGUGAUCUGAAAGUGAACGACCCUUCGGGGAGCUUGCACAGGUGCUGCAUGGCUGUCGUCAGCUCGUGUCGUGAGAUGUUCGGUUAAGUCCGCUAACGAGCGCAGCCCUCACUGUGUGUUAUACGUGUCACACGGGACUGCCGGUUUUAAGCCGGAGGAAGGCGAGGAUGAAGUCAAGUCAGCAUGGCCUUUAUAUCUUGGGCUACACACACGCUACAAUGGUCUGUACAACAGGUUGCCAAGCCGCGAGGCGGAGCCAAUCCUAAAAGCAGGCCUCAGUUCAGAUUGUAGGCUGCAACCCGCCUGCAUGAAGAUGGAGUUGCUAGUAACCGCAGGUCAGCUAUACUGCGGUGAAUACGUUCCCGGGUCUU
rnacentral:rRNA from 1 species